GCGGCAACAGCUCAAAUUUGAAAUCUGGCUCUUUCAGAGUCCGAGUUGUAAUUUGCAGAGGGUGCUUUGGUGGUAGUUGCGGUCUAAGUUCUUUGGAACAGGACGUCACAGAGGGUGAGAAUCCCGUAUGUGGUCGCUACUUAUCACCGUGUAAAGCCCCUUCGACGAGUCGAGUUGUUUGGGAAUGCAGCUCUAAAUGGGAGGUAAAUUUCUUCUAAAGCUAAAUACUGGCCAGAGACCGAUAGCGCACAAGUAGAGUGAUCGAAAGAUGAAAAGCACUUUGGAAAGAGAGUCAAAUAGCACGUGAAAUUGUUGAAAGGGAAGCGCUUGCAGCCAGACUUGCCUGUAGUUGCUUACCUAGACUUUUGUCUGGGGUACUCUUCUGCAGGCAGGCCAGCAUCAGUUUGGGCGGUUGGAUAAAGGUCUCUGUCACGUACCUCCUUUCGGGGAGGCCUUAUAGGGGAGACGUCAUACAACCAGCCUGGACUGAGGUCCGCGCAUCUGCUAGGAUGCUGGCGUAAUGGCUGUAAGCGGCCCGUCUUGAAACACGGACCAAGGAGUCUAACAUCUAUGCGAGUGUUUGGGUGUCAAGCCCAUACGCGUAAUGAAAGUGAACGGAGGUGGGAACCUUAGGGUGCACCAUCGACCGAUCCUGAUGUCUUCGGAUGGAUUUGAGUAAGAGCAUGGCUGUUGGGACCCGAAAGAUGGUGAACUAUGCUUGAAUAGGGUGAAGCCAGAGGAAACUCUGGUGGAGGCUCGCAGCGGUUCUGACGUGCAAAUCGAUCGUCAAAUUUGGGCAUA
rnacentral:rRNA from 1 species